AUGUUGGACAGGGCGCGUCUGCGCCUCCGGCCGCCGCGGCUCCCGGGGCCUCCGCCUGCAGCCGGCGGCGGAACGAGGGCAGGCGGCUGAGACAGGCGAGCUAUUUGCAUUCCCCGGCAGUCAUUUUUAUAUGCGGAGGUAAUGAAGUUGUCAGCGGCGCCCCGAGUGUGGCAGAGCCUGAUAUUCAAAUCGCCCUGCCCGCUCCGCCUGCUCCCGCCCGCUGGUCCCGGGAGCCCCAGGCUGCGCGCGCCCGCACCGCAUCGCCGCUUUGCCCCGCGACCGCGCGCGCCUCCUCGUCCUCCCCCGCGCCUUUGUUUCCGUCUCCUUCUCCUUUCCCUCCUCUUUUGUGUCGGGCCAGACUCAGCCCCAGAAACCAGCCACCCUGCCGCGUCCGACUGCCAGGGAUCCCUCACGCCGCGAGGUGGAGUCUCGCUCUGUCGCCCAGGCUGGAGUACAGUGGUGCGAUCUUGGCUCCCUGCAACUUCUGCCUCCCAGGUUCAAGCGAUUUUCCUGCCUCAGCUUCCUGAGUAGCUGGGACUACAGGAAGAGACACUAGAGAGACACUCAGCUGCAGUGAGAAUACACAGGCAUCUUCAAGUACCAGAGAUGUCUCCAAGAGCACCAGCAACCCCAGCUAUCUGGAUCUGAAGUGGAUAUGCUCAGAGACAUCCUGGCCCACCCCAAAGAAGAUGCUGCUGCACUCAGAAGACGCCAGAGCUAGCCACCACCCACACUGCAAGUCUGGAAGCUCUGCAAGGACCCAGCAAGGCAGCCUGCUCAGCGAAGGCUUUGUCUCCUGUGGCAGGAAGAGCAACAUUAAGAACAAGAACCCCGGGCUGGACUACCCCUGAGAUUUAAUGACCAGAGCUGAGACCCCCAAGACCACAAUGACUAUGGAGGGCUGUCAUUACCCUGCCUGACCCUCUAAUGCCUCUCAGUUCAAGGAGGCCACUGAGUGAAACUGAAGGCUGGUUUUCCUUGGAAGCCAGCGGCCCAUCCACCUGCUCCACUUCCCUGCCUCUUGCAGCCUCCGCUCAAACACUGUCGUGGCUUGGCAGCACUACAAGUAUUUCAGGGGCUGCCAAGCUGCUCUCCUGUUUCCUCUUCCUUGGGGCUGAUUGCAUCCCAUGAUGUGCCCAGGUUUUGAGAUGCUCCUCGUGAAUGAAAAUAGGACUGUCUGGUUCCUCCAUCCAUAGCAAGGGAGCCUAGACAGAAAUAACUUCUGUGCAUUUCUCCAGCUACAUUUAGGGAAAACUAGAAAAUACAGAAAUAUAUCAAGAAGAAAAAAAAUUUAAAAAUGACCCAAAAUCCCACCAACCAGAGACAGCUAUUAAUGAUUGUGGUAUAUUUAUUGAAUUUACUAAAGUCAUGCUAUACGCUAGGCACUGUGGAGGGACUGCAGAAAGACUUCAAGGACUGCACCGUCUUGUUAGAAAGAUGCCUAGACAACAUUUGAGAAACGCUGAUCAUGUCUGAUGACACAUAACUGCUAACAGUUACAUGGAAUUUUCUAUAUGCUAUAUACAAACAUACAAAUAUAUGUAUGUAUAUUUACUCAGCUCUCACAACAGCUACUACUGUUAUUAUGAAUCCUGUUUUAUAGUGAGAAAACUGAAACAUGGAGAGGUUAAGUAAUUUGCCCAAGAUCACAUAGCUACUAAGUGGUGGAACUGUGAUUAGAAUCCAGGCAUUCAGGCUCCAGAGUUCAUACUCUUCACAUACCACAUCUAUCUUGAAUAUAACAAUGUAGAGAAAAAGAAUUAUAGCAAGCAUAUGUCUAGGUAAGCAUUUUCCAGAAGUGACUGUUUUUUUGCAUUGGGUUUGUAAACUUUCAACAAUAAAGCAGGUUGGACUUUAUAUCAGUCAAAGCAGAAUAUUCUGAUGUCACCUUCCCCAAUGUUUAGGAUGUUAAUGAGAAUUGCUAAUCCAAGAGAAGAAAAUAAUCUCAUCUAAUUUGGGUAAGUCAAUUAUUUGAAAGUAGAAGAACCACCCUUCCACCUCUCUUGUUCUAAGGAACCUCUGGGGGAAGUACUGGAAAAAUAAUGCUUUCUAAUAAGCCCAAUAGGGCUUUUGAUUUGUAAUAACUAUUUUAAUAAGUAUCAGUUCAAUUCCUAUUAUUUUUAAGAAGUUCAUUGAAUGAAUUAAAGAACAAAUGAAUGAGCAAUGCUUUAGGCUAUAGGCUUUCAGAGGACGUAAUUCUAUGAAACAGACUCAGUGGUAUGCUGGCACCAGCUCCUACUUGCGUCUCUUUUCAACUUUGUGUUCAGUGACUUUGCCUUGGUAGCUUGACAUCAGCCAUGGUGGGAAUAUUUAAACUAAAUAACUGAGAAAAUGAUUCAUAUUAGAGAGCUUUCUUUUUUCCCGGGAACUAAGUGUUAAACAUUUACCAGCACACCACUGCCUAGACUUGUUAGGAAAUUCACAAGUGAGAAGAAAUUCUGUGAUUCCAGGAGAUGAAAGAGGGAAGUGUAAUGAGAAUAUCAACUUGAGUAUUUUAUCCGUUGCUUUCUUUAAUUGGGUCAUUUCAGAGGGUGGGUAGAUUUUGUUAAGACAGUUGAAAUAUUUAGGUAGGUAGAGGGGUGAGUGCAGUUGAAGAGUAAAGGCUGUUUGGGGCAGACAAAAGAAUGAUAGCACUCUUUCAAGUGCUCUGCCACCAGCAGUAAAAGUCGGGAGAAGGACCUAGCACCAGGACACGUGAUCUGUCCGGCGUAAGCGAGUGCUGAGUCAAAGGCCUGCAAUUCAGGCCCCUGCUCUGGGGCACGGUCAGUUUCAGCCAGGCCCAACUCUCUUUCCCAGGUCCAUGGCGUGGAUGGCACCCAGAAUCCAGCAGGGGAGUGCUGGUGGAUACACCUGGGAGGGCCUGGUGGAGGAUCAUUUGCGUGCAGAAAUAAGGAAAUAGACAUAUUUGAGCUGGAAGAAAAUCUUACAUGUCUGAUCCAAUUCUCUCAUUUCACAGAUAAGGAAAAGGGGCCCCAAAGAGUGAAGAGGGGAUGUCCUGAGGUCAUGAGGCUGGCUUACAGCAAGGAUCUGGACCAGACAGCAGGGUGGGACCCUCAGCUGUCCCCAUACUUGCUGCUUGAUAUUGGAUAGGUUAUUUAGGCUCUAUGUGUUUUCUCAUAAACACAUAGAGGUUAGGUAAAAAUGGUGGUGUGAGAAUGAACUAAUACAUGUAAAGAGCUUGCAUGUAGUAAGCUCUCAAUAAAUAUUAAUAAUACUGGGCACAGUGGCUCACACCUGUAAUCCCAGCACUUUGAGAGGCCAAGGCGGGUGGAUCCCUUGAGGUCAGGAGUUUGAGAACGCCCUGACAAACAUGGUGAAACCCCAUCUCUACU
rnacentral:lncRNA from 1 species